rnacentral:rRNA from 1 species
AUUGAACGCUGGCGGCAUGCCUUACACAUGCAAGUCGAACGGCAGCACGGGAGCAAUCCUGGUGGCGAGUGGCGAACGGGUGAGUAAUAUAUCGGAAUGUGCCCAGUCGUGGGGGAUAACGUAGCGAAAGCUACGCUAAUACCGCAUACGAUCUAUGGAUGAAAGCGGGGGAUCGCAAGACCUCGCGCGAUUGGAGCGGCCGAUAUCAGAUUAGGUAGUUGGUGAGGUAAAGGCUCACCAAGCCGACGAUCUGUAGCUGGUCUGAGAGGACGACAAGGCACACUGGAACUGAGACACGGUCCAGACUCCUACGGGAGGCAGCAGUGGGGAAUUUUGGACAAUGGGCGCAAGCCUGAUCCAGCAAUGCCGCGUGCAGGAUGAAGGCCUUCGGGUUGUAAACUGCUUUUGUACGGAACGAAACGGUGAGCUCUAAUACAGUUUGCUAAUGACGGUACCGUAAGAAUAAGCACCGGCUAACUACGUGCCAGCCGCCGCGGUAA